UUGAUCCUGGCUCAGGAUAAACGCUGGCGGCGCACAUAAGACAUGCAAGUCGAACGGACUUAAUCGAUUCUUUUAGAUUCGAAGCGGUUAGUGGCGGACUGGUGAGUAACACGUAAGCAACCUGCCUGUUAGAGGGGAAUAACAGUGAGAAAUCACUGCUAAAACCGCAUAUGCCGUGAACAUCGCAUGAUGAAAACGGGAAAAGAGCAAUCUGCUAAUAGAUGGGCUUGCGUCUGAUUAGCUAGUUGGUGUGGUAAAGGCAUACCAAGGCAACGAUCAGUAGCCGGACUGAGAGGUUGAACGGCCACAUUGGGACUGAGAUACGGCCCAGACUCCUACGGGAGGCAGCAGUCGGGAAUAUUGCGCAAUGGAGGAAACUCUGACGCAGUGACGCCGCGUAUGGGAAGAAGGUUUUCGGAUUGUAAACCAUUUUAGACAAGGAAGAAACAAGACAGUACUUGUAGAAUAAGCUCCGGCUAACUACGUGCCAGCAGCCGCGGUAAUACGUAGGGAGCAAGCGUUAUCCGGAUUUAUUGGGUGUAAAGGGUGCGUAGACGGGAAGGUAAGUUAGUUGUGAAAUCCCUCGGCUCAACUGAGGAACUGCGACUAAAACUGCUUUUCUUGAGUACUGGAGAGGAAAGUGGAAUUCCUAGUGUAGCGGUGAAAUGCGUAGAUAUUAGGAGGAACACCAGUGGCGAAGGCGGCUUGCUGGGCUUUUACUGACGCUGAGGCUCGAAAGUGUGGGGAGCAAACAGGAUUAGAUACCCUGGUAGUCCACACCGUAAACGAUGGAUACUAGGUGUAGGGGAUAUUAAGUCUUCUGUGCCGUCGCAAACGCAGUAAGUAUCCCACCUGGGGAGUACGGCCGCAAGGUUGAAACUCAAAGGAAUUGACGGGGGCCCGCACAAGCAGUGGAGUAU
rnacentral:rRNA from 1 species